rnacentral:tRNA from 1 species
GGGGGUGUGGCUUAGUGGUAGGGCAUCUCCUGGGCAUGCAGAAGGUCCUAAGUUCAACCCCCGGCAUCUCCA